GACUCCAUGAAGCUGGAUUCGCUAGUAAUCGCGCAUCAGCCACGGCGCGGUGAAUACGUUCCCGGGCCUUGUACACACCGCCCGUCAAGCCAUGGAAGCCGGGGGUGCCUGAAGUGCGCUGCCGCAAGGAGCGCCCUAGGGUAAAACCGGUGACUGGGGCUAAGUCGUAACAAGGUACC
rnacentral:rRNA from 1 species